AAAGAGUAAGAAAUUUUGGUAAGUUUACCUUUUGUAUCAGGGGAAGUCAAAAGUAAAAUUAGUAAAAUAUCGAUUUAAGUAGAGCUUUGGGUAAAGAAAUUAUAAUUGAAUUUAUAGUUUUAAUGGAGUCAUGUGGUGAAAAAUGUACGGUGCUUAUGGUAACUAUUUGUUUUUUUGUUGAAGGGUAAGCUUUCAUUAGUUUAAGCAUAAAAAAAAAAUUAAAGAAUUAGGCUUUGUAUUAGCCAAAUUAUUAAAUUGUUUUAAAUAAUCUAGUAAAACAAAGUAAGUUUAAAAUUAAAAGACUUAGUCUAUUAGUGGUAGUAGGCUUAAAUAAUGAAUUUAUUGAAUAAAGCUCGGAAUACUUAAAUAACUCAUGAUAGGUUAGAAUGUUUAACAAAAACAUUUUCUUUUGAGGUAAAUAAGAUAAGACCUGCCCGGUGAUUUUUAACGGCUGCGGUAUUUUGACUGUGCUAA
rnacentral:rRNA from 1 species